AAUUUUUAACAUUUGCUGUCACUUUUGUUUUUCAGCAUCAAAGGUAGAUUUACAUCUAGAAUAAAGAAGCUUGCCCUAAAGGUCAAAUAUUACAGGGAUAGUGGGGAAGAUGAAGAUUUGAACUAACGCUUUCAGUGAUACAAAGUUCCCUUACUGUAUGUGGAGGUCAGAACAUAAGGGAACUGAGACCCGUUUUCCUAUACAACACGAUGACUCGCCCCCCUGCUGGGAUUAUAAAGAACACAGGUUUAUCUCCACUACUCGCUCUGCCUUUGUGUGUUUCCUCCAGCACUUCUGGUUUCUGCCACAAUGAAAACAUGCUCAGUCAUUGUGACCUUGACCAAGUCACUGGCUUCCAUUUAGCAGUGGUCCCUGGGUACUGUACACUGGCUUCCCACAGCCUCUAAUGAUUGUAAUGGAUUAAAU